CAAGAGGUUUGCGGAAGCGAUUAUCAUGGCCUCAAAGAAAUAUAAGAUUGCUUACAGCAAAAAACGUUCUGGAUGGGCGGAGGAUAUCUUUAAGUGGGAACAUACAAUUCAGACUGGUGUUCCAAUUGACUUAAGAGGGUGUAAUACCGGCUACCUCGUUCUACAAGCUAUGGCCAUGUGGGGGAAUGACAGACGAAUGAAAUUUGUUGGGGAUGCAAAGAUUGUUCGAAGGAACUUUGUGAUUGAUCUGUUAAGUUAUGAGGAUAAUUCGUGCCGAUAUGCCAUCCCUGCAAACAUACAACAGAGACUUAUCGAUAUCGCUAAAAAGGAUUAGCUGAUUAGUGUGAUAUUGAUAAUGUUUUCCACACGGAUUUUGCAUGUUAUAGUGAUGUUUGUCAUUCCGUAUUAAUGUUUUAUACAAAUAUUUUACUUCCGUCGCAACGCACGGACACAUAUCUAUAACAUACAACAGAG
rnacentral:misc_RNA from 1 species